AGUGAACGCUGGCGGUAGGCCUAACACAUGCAAGUCGAACGGCAGCACAGGAGAGCUUGCUCUCUGGGUGGCGAGUGGCGGACGGGUGAGGAAUACAUCGGAAUCUACUUUUUCGUGGGGGAUAACGUAGGGAAACUUACGCUAAUACCGCAUACGACCUACGGGUGAAAGCAGGGGAUCUUCGGACCUUGCGCGGUUGAAUGAGCCGGUGUCGGAUUAGCUAGUUGGCGGGGGAAAGGCCCACCAAGGCGACGAUCCGUAGCUGGUCUGAGGGGAGGAUCAGCCACCCUGGAACUGAGACACGGUCCAGACUCCUACGGGAGGCAGCAGUGGGGAAUAUUGGACAAUGGGCGCAAGCCUGAUCCAGCCAUACCGCGUGGGUGAAGAAGGCCUUCGGGUUGUAAAGCCCUUUUGUUGGGAAAGAAAUCCAGCUGGUUAAUACCCGGUUGGGAUGACGGUACCCAAAGAAUAAGCACCGGCUAACUUCGUGCCAGCCGCCGCCGUAA
rnacentral:rRNA from 1 species